UACGUAGGGGGCUAGCGUUGUCCGGAAUCAUUGGGCGUAAAGCGCGUGUAGGCGGUCCGGUAAGUCCGCUGUGAAAGUCGGGAGCUCAACCCUCGGAUGCCGGUGGAUACUGUCGGGCUUGAGUACGGAAGAGGCGAGUGGAAUUCCUGGUGUAGCGGUGAAAUGCGCAGAUAUCAGGAGGAACACCUAUUGCGAAGGCAGCUCGCUGGGACGUAACUGACGCUGAGACGCGAAAGCGUGGGGAGCAAACAGG
rnacentral:rRNA from 1 species